AUGUGUUUUCUCUUCUGAUUAAAACAAAACUGUUUAAACCACAGAAUAAGGAUCAAACAAUUACGAAGCUAACAUUAGCUAGCUGGCUUUUAAGACAAUGUACCAUGGAUGUCUUAAUCAAUACACUGUUAAAAGUUACCGCGAAAACAAUGGCUUCUCUUUAAAGUGGUAUGGACAGUUUUCUUGGAUGGAAUACAGUGUAAAUAAGGACGAGCUUUUCUGCAGCAUGUGCAGACAUUUCCCCAGCGGAGCUGACAGCCCAUCAGCCAGAGAGGAGGCCCUCACUGAGGUAACAUUCGUUAAGUAAAACAUGUUUCAUGCUUCUCACGAUGUGACCAUAGUCCUGAAGCAUAUGGAUAGGAUAUGUUACAUGUGCGAUGUUUGUCUGAUGUAGGCUAUUCUAUGUCAUGCAGCAUGUAAUUUAGAUGCCUUCUCUGCUGUUUGGGUUCAUGAUUAGUUCCCACUUUGUGCAAUAAAAUGGUUAAUUGUAUAACAGUGCUGUGCAGAGCCAAUGCUGCUGGCCCCUCAACCGGUUUCUUUACCCAGUAACCCAAAAGAAGACGUAAGAAUGAGCUAUCACAGGGGUGGCCACACCUUAACAACCCAUUACUCAUACAAUUCCUGAAUGUUGUUCACAACCUGAUAUCAUGUUACCUGCUUUGUGUAAAUGGGUAUAAAAGGUGAUGUGUGUUCAGAGAAGGACCUCAACCAGCAAACAGCAACAGGUGGAAUCAGAGAGCAUCACAGCUUCAAUCACUGCAGUCAAGACAAAUCUACGGUAGACAAAACCUUAUAGCACAUCCCAAAAUGAUGAUGAAGAUCUAUGUCAUCCUCCUUCUGUGUGUUGGAAUAACAACCAUGGCUGCAGCAACAACAACAGCUGCCGAACACACCAA